UGUAGGGAAUGAUUGUAAGGUGUACAUGUCUAGCGGGCAGGUGUCAUCUGACCUUGACCUCAUUUUCAUGGUUCAGUGGUCAAAGUUAAGUUUUUGAGUUUUGGUCUUUUUUUCUAAUACUAUAUGCAAUAGUUCAACUAUAUUUGGUAUGUGCGUACCUUGCAAGGUCCUCAUGCCCGUCAGACAGUUUUCACUUGACCUCGACCUCAUUUUAUGGAUCAGUGAACAAGGUUAAAUUUUGGUGGUCAAGUCCAUAUCUCAGAUACUAUAAGCAAUAGGUCUAGUAUAUUUGGUGUAUGGAAGGACUGUAAGGUGUACAUGUCCAACUGGCAGGUGUCAUCUGACCUUGACCUCAUUUUCAUGGUUCAGUGGUUAUAGUUAAGUUUUUGUGUUUUGGUCUGUUUUUCUUAUACUGUAUGCCAUAGGUCUACUAUAUUUGGUGUAUGGAAUGAUUGUAAGGUGUACAUGUCUAGCGGGCAGGUGUCAUUUGACCUUGACCUCAUUUUCAUGGUUCAGUGGUCAAAGUUAAGUUUUUGAGUUUUGGUCUUUUUUUCUAAUACUAUGUGCAAUAGUUCAACUAUAUUUGGUAUGUGCGUACCUUGCAAGGUCCUCAUGCCCGUCAGACAGUUUUCACUUGACCUCGACCUCAUUUAAUGGAUCAGUGAACAAGGUUAAGUUUUGGUGGUUAAGUCCAUAUCUCAGAUACUAUAAGCAAUAGGUCUAGUAUAUUCGGUGUAUGGAAGGACUGUAAGGUGUACAUGUCCAACUGGCAGGUGUCAUCUGACCUUGACCUCAUUUUCAUGGUUCAGUGGUUAUAGUUAAGGUUUUGUGUUUUGGUUUGUUUUUCUUAUACUGUAUGCCAUAGGUCUACUAUAUUUGGUGUAUGGAAUGAUUGUAAGGUGUACAUGUCUAGCGGGCUGGUGUCAUCUGACCUUGACCUCAUUUUCAUGGUUCAGUGGUCAAAGUUAAGUUUUUGAGUUUUGGUCUUUUUUUCUAAUACUAUGUGCAAUAGUUCAACUAUAUUUGGUAUGUGCGUACCUUGCAAGGUCCUCAUGCCCGUCAGACAGUUUUCACUUGACCUUGACCUCAUUUCAUGGAUCAAUGAACAAGGUUAAGUUUUGGUGGUCAAGUCCAUAUCUCAGAUACUAUAAGCAAUAGGUCUAGUAUAUUUGGUGUAUGGAAGGACUGUAAGGUGUACAUGUCCAACUGGCAGGUGUCAUCUGACCUUGACCUCAUUUUCAUGGUUCAGUGGUUAUAGUUAAGUUUUUGUGUUUUGGUCUGUUUUUCUUAUACUAUAUGCAAUAGUUCAACUAUAUUUGGUGUAUGGAAAUAUUUUAUGAUCUAUUUGGCAGUCACGCAGGUUUUAUUUGACCUUGACCUCAUUUUCAAGGUUCAUUGCUCAGUGUUAAGUUUUUGUGUUUUGGUCUGUUUUUCUUAAACUAUAAGCAAUAGGUCAACUCUAUUUGUUGUAUGGAAGAAUUGUUAGCUGUACAUGCCUGCCUAGCAUGGUUCAUCUGACCUUGACCUCAUUUUCAUGGUUCAUUGGUCAAUGUUUAGUUUACUUGGUUAAUGUUAAGUUUAUGUGACAGUUGUAAUAAAGCUUUAUAUUUAGGACUAUCAACAUAAUAUCAAUGAUUAGUAAAGAAGGCGAGACAUUUCAGCGUGUGCACUCUUGUUGUGUUUUGGUCUGUUUUUUGUCGAGCCUGCGACUUUUGUCGCAGAAAGCUCGACAUAGGGAUAGUGAUCCGGCUACGGCGGCGGCGGCGUUAGCUAACUUCUUAAAAGCUUUAUAUUUUAGAAGGUGGAAGGUCUGGAUGCUUCAUACUUUGUAUAUGGAUGCCUCAUGUUACGAAGUUUCUGUCAGUCACAUGUCCAAUGUCCUUGACCUCAUUUUCAUGGUUCAGUGACUACUUGAAAAAAAAGUUCAGAUUUUUUGUAAUGUUAGAUUCUCUCUUAUUAUAAGUAAUAGGAUAACUCUAUUUGGUAUGUGCGUACCUUGCAAGGUCCGCAUGCCCGUCAGACAGUUUUCACUUGACCUCGACCUCAUUUCAUGGAUCAGUGAACAAGGUUAAGUUUUGGUGGUCAAGUCCAUAUCUCAGAUACUAUAAGCAAUAGGUCUUGUAUAUUCGGUGUAUGGAAGGACUGUAAGGUGUACAUGUCCAACUGGCAGGUGUCAUCUGACCUUGACCUCAUUUUCAUGGUUCAGUGGUUAUAGUUAAGUUUUUGUGUUUUGGUCUGUUUUUCCUAUACUGUAUGCCAUAGGUCUACUAUAUUUGGUGUAUGGAAUGAUUGUAAGGUGUACAUGUCUAGCUGGCAGGUGUCAUCUGACCUUGACCUCAUUUUCAUGGUUCAGUGGUCAAAGUUAAGUUUUUGAGUUUUGGUCUUUUUUUCUAAUACUAUAUGCAAUAGUUCAACUAUAUUUGGUGUAUGGAAAUAUUUUA